rnacentral:tRNA from 1 species
GCGGAAGUGGCGGAAUUGGUAGACGCACCAGAUUUAGGUUCUGGCGCCACAAGGUGUGAGAGUUCAAGUCUCUCCUUCCGCACCA